rnacentral:tRNA from 1 species
UCCCUUUGGCUCAGUUGGUAGAGCAUGGUGUGUGCAACGCCAGGAUUAUGGGUUCGAUUCCCAUGGGAG